AGAGGUGAUUAUGUUACAGUAGGGUCACCAGGAUGGGCCUUGAUCCAGGCUGACUGGGUCCUUGUGAGAAGGGGAGAUCAGCGCACACACACACACACACACACACACACACACACACACACACACACAGAGGGACAACCACAUGAGAGCACAGAGAAGAUAACCAUCCACAUGGCAAAGAGAGAAGCCAGGAGGAGCCAGUCCUGCCUGCAAAGGACCUCGGAUUCCAGGCUCCAGAGCUGUGAGAAGAUUCUUUUCCUGGUUUGGGCCCUGUCUGUGGCAUUUGUUACUGUGAGCAAGAGGACAAUGUGCCCUGGACAACAGGCCCCAGCAAGAUGCAGAGCAGUGUUGCCCAGGAUGGAGGAGGGUGGGGAAGGUUGGCAGGGGAACCCUGAACAGGAGAGGCUGAGUGGUGGGUGGAGUCCUGGAGCAGGCCUGGUGGAUUCCAUAGGUAUUUGCUGUCUGACCACACCCCCAGGAUGACACAUGCAGCAGUUAGGAGUGACUGAGGAACCUGGCACUCCACCUGCCAGCUAUAAAGACCCAUACACAGGGCUCCAUGUGCCCUGCCCGCCUAUCACCUGGCCCAGCCAUGAGGACUCCCCUGCUGUGGCUGCCUCUGCUCCUGCUCGUGUGGCCAGGGCAGGCACUGCAGUGUCAUGAGUGCACUGCUACAAAGGAUUGUUUCCAGCCUGUGUCUUGCGGAGCCCAAAUCCGCUACUGCCUGACCACAUGGAACAAUGGAUCACUUCUUUAUGGAACUUCUGCCUUCAGGGCUUGCUCAGGCCCAAUCGUGUAUAAUAUGAUUUCCUUUUGAUGAUAGAGAGUUUCUUUUUUUUUUUUUCCUUUGUUUUUCCUUUUUUGAUGAUGGAGGAUUUCUGUGCACAGCAACUUUGUUUGGUAGGUCAGAUAAUAUCCAGUCCAUGAUGGGUAGCUCAGAUCACAUGAUAAACCAGUGAAUCAUGCUUAAGCACUGAGAAUUAACUGAGGUCUAGUAGCAGGCCAAGAGCUCUCUUAAAAUGAGAGUAGCUAUCUGUGACAUUAGCAGGGUCUUGCUCCAAAAUCCCAAAGGCCUGCAACUGCAACUCGCCUGUAGAGGCCUGCGAAAGGCUCUCCUGCACCCCUAACUGCCACUGAUACUUCAAGCACCACUGAGUCUGCUGGAUCUCAAAGCACAUGUGGCUGAGCAGCUUGCACAGCAGUCUCAACCAGUGCAAACCCUCCUUUUUAUCUAGGCCCAUCUCAAAAUACUAGCAAAUAUUUGAGUCAUUUGGUAAAUGGGCUAGAGUAACAUAUCCAAAUAUGCAUUUGUUGCCUCUAAAACUCCAGAGUCUACCAGGUGCCAUCUUUGUUGUAGGAACAGUUAAUACUUUUAAAACCUCUUCAAGUAUUUAUCUUUACUUUAGAAGAGAUAUCUCAACAUGCCCCACUAAUUUCACUGAGGUAAAAGGCCCCUGAAUUUAAUCAGAUUUCCUACUUCGUACCAGUAAGUUCAGAAAGUGAUCAAGAUCCCUGCAGACUAUAAUAUGACAUAGGCUACAGAGUAGAUAUUACCUAGGUAGGACAGUGAAGGUAUAUUGCUGGGCCUUUAUGGGCAGGUGUGAAGAAAGAGGCAUUUAUCAGAUCAUAACAGGCACCAAGAGAUGUGCUAAUUUGCUCCAUGAAACCACAUCUGUUACACCAGAUGCAACUGGAGU